rnacentral:tRNA from 1 species
GCCUGGCUGGCUCAGUCGGUAGAACAUGUGACUCUUGAUCUUGGGGUGGUGGGUUUAAGCCCCACGUUGGGUG